rnacentral:rRNA from 1 species
AUGCAAUUUUCCAUAUUCCUAGUUACGUAUUUACUUACGGCGACGAAGAAUAAAACUAUCGCUAUAUUUUUUCCUUUUCCUAGUUCUUCUUCCAAGCGCAGGAUAACCCCAAGGGGUUGUGGGUUUUUUUCUACCAAUGAGCUGCUUAGUCGUCUCCUUUCUUUGAUGAUCGUCAACACAUCUAUUUGA